rnacentral:tRNA from 1 species
GGGAGUGUAGCUCAGAGGUAGAGCAUAUAUUUUAGCAUAUCCAAAGCCCUGGGUUCAAUCCCCAGAACCACCC